UCUCCUACGGGGGGCUGCAGUGGGGAAUAUUGGACAAUGGGCGCAAGCCUGAUCCAGCCAUGCCGCGUGAGUGAUGAAGGUCUUAGGAUUGUAAAGCUCUUUCACCGAUGAAGAUAAUGACGGUAGUCGGAGAAGAAGCCCCGGCUAACUUCGUGCCAGCAGCCGCGGUAAUACGAAGGGGGCUAGCGUUGUUCGGAAUUACUGGGCGUAAAGCGCACGUAGGCGGAUAUUUACGGCAGGGUUGAAAUCCCGCAGCUCAACUGCGGAACUGCCUUUGAUACUGGGUAUCUCGAGUAUGGAAGAGGUGAGUGGAAUUCCGAGUGUAGAGGUGAAAUUCGUAGAUAUUCGGAGGAACACCAGUGGCGAAGGCGGCUCACUGGUCCAUUACUGCCGCUGAGGUGCGAAAGCGUGGGGAGCAAACAGGAUUAGAUACCCUUGUAGUCA
rnacentral:rRNA from 1 species